AAGUCGUAACAAGGUUUCCGUAGGUGAACCUGCGGAAGGAUCAUUAAAAAUGACAAACUUACACACCGUGAACAGGCCCCAGGGCCGAAAAAACACUUUUAUACAGCGUCAUUUAAAUAACAACAAAAACAACUUUUAGCAACGGAUCUCUAGGUUCUC
rnacentral:misc_RNA from 1 species